GAUGAACGCUGGCGGCGUGCCUAAUACAUGCAAGUCGAGCGAACAGACGAGGAGCUUGCUCCUCUGACGUUAGCGGCGGACGGGUGAGUAACACGUGGAUAACCUACCUAUAAGACUGGGAUAACUUCGGGAAACCGGAGCUAAUACCGGAUAAUAUAUUGAACCGCAUGGUUCAAUAGUGAAAGACGGUUUUGCUGUCACUUAUAGAUGGAUCCGCGCCGCAUUAGCUAGUUGGUAAGGUAACGGCUUACCAAGGCAACGAUGCGUAGCCGACCUGAGAGGGUGAUCGGCCACACUGGAACUGAGACACGGUCCAGAGUCCUACGGGAGGCAGCAGUAGGGAAUCUUCCGCAAUGGGCGAAAGCCUGACGGAGCAACGCCGCGUGAGUGAUGAAGGUCUUCGGAUCGUAAAACUCUGUUAUUAGGGAAGAAAAAAUGUGUAAGUAACUAUGCACGUCUUGACGGUACCUAAUCAGAAAGCCACGGCUAACUACGUG
rnacentral:rRNA from 1 species